AAAUGCCCAGUUUUCGUAUGAUUUGUAAAAGUUGUUUUCCGAAAAAAAAAAAUUUUUACGAUCAAACAAACAUUGGAAAUUUACUUUUCCUCGGAAAAUUUUUUUUCGGAGUGCUUUUACAGCAAAACAAAAGCCCCCUAAGGUUCAGGGUUUGCACUCAUGUUCCAAUGUUCUGCAAUCUGAAGAGAGAGGAAUGAGUUACGAAUCUAGUAAUGGAUCGACAUCUCGAAGGGCACCGAGGAGUCUUACAUGACUUUGGUAUAGCAAUUAGCAAUAGUUACUUCUCUGAGUUCUAAUUCAGUUCUCAAUGUAGAAAUUAAUCAAUCAAAAUAGUAAUUACUCUCUUUGCAUAUGCUUGUUCAGGGUAAGUGCUUCCUACAGUGAGAGGCGGGACACCAAUAUGAUCCUUAAAUGUCUGCUAAUUAUCACACUAAAC
rnacentral:lncRNA from 1 species